GGGGAAUAUUGCACAAUGGGCGCAAGCCUGAUGCAGCCAUGCCGCGUGUAUGAAGAAGGCCUUCGGGUUGUAAAGUACUUUCAGCGGGGAGGAAGGGAGUAAAGUUAAUACCUUUGCUCAUUGACGUUACCCGCAGAAGAAGCACCGGCUAACUCCGUGCCAGCAGCCGCGGUAAUACGGAGGGUGCAAGCGUUAAUCGGAAUUACUGGGCGUAAAGCGCACGCAGGCGGUUUGUUAAGUCAGAUGUGAAAUCCCCGGGCUCAACCUGGGAACUGCAUCUGAUACUGGCAAGCUUGAGUCUCGUAGAGGGGGGUAGAAUUCCAGGUGUAGCGGUGAAAUGCGUAGAGAUCUGGAGGAAUACCGGUGGCGAAGGCGGCCCCCUGGACGAAGACUGACGCUCAGGUGCGAAAGCGUGGGGAGCAAACA
rnacentral:rRNA from 141 species